GCAAAAAGGAGGGAGAGGGAGGCAGGAUGCUCUCUGGCACUCUCAUAUAUUAGGUCUCUGCAAAGACAGAAGGCUGUAGAGGCAGCCUCAGCCAGCCUUUGGGCAGUGAUUCUAACUAGUGCCCCCGAACACGGUGGUCAGGACGACUUUGAAGAGGCAAUUCAUUACUUAUGCAUAGAACGCUCUAGCUCUGCUAAACCAAGAGCGCAAACGCCCCCUUGUUCUCUACUGUAGAGACUUGCAUCUUUUUGGUACUCAACAUUCUCAAGAUACUCUGCUACUACAGGUCUUCUAAGAGAUGUUUCAUUUCCAACUGAAAACAUGUGGUGAGUCCAGAUGUUCAAACACAAUCACUCCCCAUUGGCUUACAGUUACAGGUUGAUUCAAGAAUGGCUAUGUAUAAAUAUACACAUCAGAAUCCUAAUUUAAAAUUAGAAUGCAGGCUGUGAAAUGAAUAAAAAUGGUAUGAGAACACAGUUGGCUAUGUAAACUUCUUGCUCAAAUGUAAGUGCCUCUUUACCCCAUUAAUGUAAUACAUCUAGUACAGUCAAUAAAUUAUUAUAAAAGUUUUAUUACAUAUGAAAAAGGAUAGAUGGUACAUAUGAAAAUAUUAUCUGAAUGAAAAAU
ensembl:lncRNA